rnacentral:rRNA from 1 species
GUCCACGCCGUAAACUAUGGAUGCUAGCCGUCGGAUAGCUUGCUAUUCGGUGGCGCAGCUAACGCAUUAAGCAUCCCGCCUGGGGAGUACGGCCGCAAGGUUAAAACUCAAAGGAAUUGACGGGGGCCCCGCACAAGCGGUGGAGCAUGUGGUUUAAUUCGACGCAACGCGAAGAACCUUACCAGCCCUUGACAUGCCCGGACGGUCUCCAGAGAUGGAUUCCUCCUAGCAAUAGGUCGGGACACAGGUGCUGCAUGGCUGUCGU